UCGAGAAUCUUCGGCAAUGGGCGCAAGCCUGACCGAGCGACGCCGCGUGCGGGAUGAAGGCCUUCGGGUUGUAAACCGCUGUCAGAGGGAAGGAAAUGCAGGUGGGUUCUCCCUCCUGUUUGACCGAUCCUCAGAGGAAGUACGGGCUAAGUUCGUGCCAGCAGCCGCGGUAACACGAACCGUACGAACGUUAUUCGGAAUCACUGGGCUUAAAGAGUACGUAGGCGGCACGGCAGGUUGGGUGUGAAAUCCCUCGGCUCAACCGAGGAACUGCGCUCAAAACCGCCGUGCUUGAGGGAGAUAGAGGUGAGCGGAACUGAUGGUGGAGCGGUGAAAUGCGUUGAUAUCAUCAGGAACACCGGUGGCGAAAGCGGCUCACUGGGUCUCUUCUGACGCUGAGGUACGAAAGCUAGGGGAGCGAACGGGAUUAGAUACCCCCGUAGUCC
rnacentral:rRNA from 1 species